rnacentral:rRNA from 1 species
AUGGCUCAGGACGAACGCUGGCGGCGUGCUUAACACAUGCAAGUCGAGCGAUGAAGCUUCUUCGGAAGUGGAUUAGCGGCGGACGGGUGAGUAACACGCGGGUAACCUGCCUCAUAGAGGGGAAUAGCCUUCCGAAAGGAAGAUUAAUACCGCAUAAGAUUGUAAUAUCGCAUGAUAUAGCAAUUAAAGGAGUAAUCCGCUAUGAGAUGGACCCGCGCCGCAUUAGCUAGUUGGUGAGGUAACGGCUCACCAAGGCGACGAUGCGUAGCCGACCUGAGAGGGUGAUCGGCCACAUUGGGACUGAGACACGGCCCAGACUCCUACGGGAGGCAGCAGUGGGGAAUAUUGCACAAUGGGGGAAACCCUGAUGCAGCCAACGCCGCGUGAGUGAUGACGGUCUUCGGAUUGUAAAGCUCUGUCUUCAGGGACGAUAAUGACGGUACCUGAGGAGGAAGCCACGGCUAACUACGUGCCAGCCGCUGC